CUGAGCGGUGGGUGGGCGGGGCGGCCCCGGAGUCUGCACCACGCCCCUCCAAGCCAACUCCGGCCACGUGGUUCCGGAGAAUGGUGCCGACACCGUAUAUUAAGGUUCAAAGAGCUUGAAAACCUUUUUCGUUUAAUCACCGUGGACCGGACAGUAGAGAUGAGAACACAAAGGUCUGAGAGAGAAGUGACCUGUCCUUCAUCAUAAAACUGAAGUAUCUAUCAUUUGCUGAACGUUGCUGAAUGAUUUUCUGCCACCAAAGACUUCUUGGGACCUGAAAAUAUUUCAUAUCCUUGCUCUUGACUUUGCGGUCUUAUCUAGUAAUGGAAAGACGUCAGUAUUUAAAGUCAGAAGACCUAGAAUUGGAAACUGCUUUUACCUUACCUGUUAUGGACGCUGAUCAAAUUGAGAAUUAAGAUGAUAAUUACCUUUGUUAUUACUAUACUUUUUAUCUCCAUCAUUUUUUCACUAUUUAUUAUGAACUUUAUAUGCCUUUAUUGUCUUUAAAUUCCACAACAAACUUGUGGGGGCAGCUGCUACUAUUGUCCCCAUUUUGUAGCUAAGAAAACGUGGUAUGAGAAGCCAGACUUCUUAAAUUUGUGAACUUUGGCAGAUGACAAGCCUGGAAUUUCAACUGAAGUAGUCUGAUCCAGAGGCCACAGUUUAAUAACCAGAGGCCACAGUUUAAUAACCAAUUUCUAAACUCUUUUGAAGUGCCAGGCAUCCUGUGUGUGUCUAUGCAUACGUGUGGGUGGGUGAAUAAAUUCUCCUGUAUUUCACACAAACCUAUGAGAGACGCAUUAUCAUUGUCACUGUAAAGUUGAGGAGACUGAAACUGAGAAAAGCUUCAAAACUUGCAAAACAUCAGAAGACUAAUACAUUGUAUUAAUGGCAUCUGAACUAAGAGCUCCAUCUCUGCCAAAGCUAAGUCCUGGCUACUAUAUGAUUCUGAUGUUUCUGAACUUGAGUUUUCUCAUGUGCAAAUAAAUGUAAUUAAAACUUUCCUAACCAUGUCUAGGAGGAGCAUCAUGUGAGACUGCAGUAUGUGAAAGCCCUCUAAGAUAUGUGUCAUCAUGAUUGCCUUUGCUCAUUUUUGUGCAUCUCUUUCUUUGCCCCUCCUGUGCUUGUGCGUGUGCUCUCUCUCUCUCUUUCUCUCUCAAAAUAAAUAGAUAUAUAUUAAAAAACAAAA